rnacentral:lncRNA from 1 species
AUUUCAUCCUGCUCCUCCUCUACAGGGACAUUUCAUCCAGCUCCUCCUCUACAGGGACAUUCCACCCAGCUCCUCCUCUACAGGGACAUUCCACCCAGCUCCUCCUCUACAGACACAUUCCAUCCAGCUCCUCCUCUACAGACACAUUCCAUCCAGCUCCUCCUCUACAGACACAUUUCAUCCAGCUCCUCCUCUACAGGGACAUUCCAUCCAGCUCCUCCUCUACAGACACAUUCCAUCCAGCUCCUCCUCGACAGACACAUUCCAUCCAGCUCCUCCUCUACAGACACAUUCCAUCCAGCUCCUCCUCUACGGACACAUUCCAUCCAGCUCCUCCUCUACAGACACAUUCCAUCCAGCUCCUCCUCUACAGACACAUUCCAUCCAGCUCCUCCUCUACAGACACAUUCCAUCCAGCUCCUCCUCUACAGACACAUUCCAUCCAGCUCCUCCUCUACAGACACAUUCCAUCCAGCUCCUCCUCUACAGACACAUUCCAUCCAGCUCCUCCUCUACAGACACAUUUCAUCCAGCUCCUCCUCUGCAGACACAUUCCAUCCAGCUCCUCCUCUACAGGAUACAUUCCAUCCAGCUCCUCCUCUACAGGAUACAUUUCAUCCAGCUACUCCUCUACGGACACAUUUCAUCCAGCUCCUCCUCUACGGACACAUUUCAUCCAGCUCCUCCUCUACAGGGACAUUUCUUCCAGCUCCUCCUCUACAGACACAUUCCAUCCAGCUCCUCCUCUACAGACACAUUUCAUCCAGCUCCUCCUCUGCAGACACAUUCCAUCCAGCUCCUCCUCUACAGACACAUUUCAUCCAGCUCCUCCUCUGCAGACACAUUUCAUCCAGCUCCUCCUCUACGGACACAUUUCAUCCAGCUCCUCCUCUACAGACAGAUUUCAUCCAGCUCCUCCUCUACAGACACACUUCAUCCAGCUCCUCCUCUACAGACAGUUUUCUUCCAGCUCCUUGUCUACAGACACAUUUCAUCCAGCUCCUCCUCUAUAGACACAUUCCAUCCAGCUCCUCCUCUACAGACACAUUUCAUCCAGCUCCUCCUCUACAGGGACACUCCAUCCAGAUCCUCCUCUACAGACACAUUUCAUCCAGCUCCUGCUCUACAGACACAUUGCAUCCAGCUCCUCCUCUACAGACACAUUUCAUCCAGCUCCUCCUCUACAGACACAUUCCAUCCAGCUCCUCCUCUACAGACACAUUUCAUCCAGCUCCUCCUCUACAGGGACAUUCCAUCCAGCUCCUCCUCUACAGACACAUUUCAUACAGCUCCUCCUCUACAGAGACAUUGCAUCCAGCUCCUCCUCUACAGGCAUGACGGCCGCAGAGGCCCCCACCCACAGGUGGGCCACCAACUGCAGAGACCUCAGACUCCGGCUCCUGCCGGUGUGGCACAGAGCUCAGUGAGGAGCUAGGCUUAAGCCUGGGCCCUCUCACCCUGAAGGCCAUCGCCCCCCUCAAGGGUUUGCUCCUGAGCUGGUCUUGCCCCACGAGGCUCCCUUUUGGCCGGCUUUUCUGAGCUCCGGAACAACCAAGGCUGGACCACAGGGCACCGAGUGAUUUCCGUCAGUGCCUACCUGGCCGCUGUGCUCAGAUCUCCAGCCACAGCACGAGCCUCUCAAGGCCCCACGGUUUACACCUCUGCUUUGCACAUGGUGGGAUUUCUCAAGCACAUGAAAACACUCUGUUUGGUGGACAGGGCCUCAGGCCUCUGCUUGGUGGACAGGGCCUCAGGACUCACCACUGCUUGGUGGACAGGGCCUCAGGACUCUCUGCUUGGUGGACAGAGCCUCAGGACUCUCUGCUUGGUGGACAGAGCCUCAGGACUCUCUGCUUGGUGGACAGGGCCUCAGGACUCUCUGCUUGGUGGACAGGGCCUCAGGACUCUCUGCCUGGUGGACAGGGCCUCAGGACUCUCUGCCUGGUGGACAGGGCCUCAGGACUCUCUGCCUGGUGGACAGGGCCUCAGGACUCUCUGCCUGGUGGACAGGGCCUCAGGACUCUCUGCUUGGUGGACAGAGCCUCAGGACUCUCUGCCUGGUGGACAGGGCCUCAGGACUCUCUGCCUGGUGGACAGAGCCUCAGGACUCUCUGCUUGGUGGACA